UACGUAGGGGGCGAGCGUUGUCCGGAAUCAUUGGGCGUAAAGAGCGUGUAGGCGGCUUGGCAAGUCUGACGUGAAAGCCCGCGGCUCAACCGCGGAUUGUCGUUGGAAACUGCCUCGCUAGAGUCCGGAAGAGGAGAGCGGAAUUCCUGGUGUAGCGGUGGAAUGCGCAGAUAUCAGGAAGAACACCCGUGGCGAAAGCGGCUCUCUGGGACGGUACUGACGCUGAGACGCGAAAGCGUGGGGAGCGAACAGG
rnacentral:rRNA from 1 species